GAUGAACGCUAGCGGCAGGCUUAACACAUGCAAGUCGAGGGGUAGAAGUUGCUUGCAACUUUGAGACCGGCGCACGGGUGCGUAACGCGUAUGCAAUCUACCUUAUACAGAGGGAUAGCACAGAGACAUUUGGAUUAAUACCUCAUAGUAUAAUUGAAUGGCAUCAUUUAAUUAUUAAAGUUCCAACGGUAUAAGAUGAGCAUGCGUCCUAUUAGCUAGAUGGUAAGGUAACGGCUUACCAUGGCAACGAUAGAUAGGGGUCCUGAGAGGGAGAUCCCCCACACUGGUACUGAGACACGGACCAGACUCCUACGGGAGGCAGCAGUGAGGAAUAUUGGACAAUGGGCGCAAGCCUGAUCCAGCCAUGCCGCGUGCAGGAAGAAGCAUCUAUGGUGUGUAAACUGCUUUUGUACGGGAAGAAACACCCCUUCGUGAAGGGACUUGACGGUACCGUAAGAAUAAGGAUCGGCUAACUCCGUGCCAGCAGCCGCCGUAAAAC
rnacentral:rRNA from 1 species